rnacentral:rRNA from 1 species
GACGAACGAGGGAGGAGGGAGGAACACAGGCAAGUCGUACGGUAAGGCCCUUUCGGGGGUACACGAGUGGCGAACGGGUGAGUAACACGUGAGUAACCUGCCCACAACUUUGGGAUAACGCUAGGAAACUGGUGCUAAUCCUGGAUAUGUGCUCCUGCUGCAUGGUGGGGGUUGGAAAGCUCCGGCGGUUGUGGAUGGACUCGCGGCCUCUCAGCUUGUUGGUGGGGUAGUGGCCUACCAAGGCGGCGACGGGUAGCCGGCCUGAGAGGGUGACCGGCCACAUUGGGACUGAGAUACGGCCCAGACUCCUACGGGAGGCAGCAGUGGGGAAUAUUGCACAAUGGGCGCAAGCCUGAUGCAGCAACGCCGCGUGCGGGAUGACGGCCUUCGGGUUGUAAACCGCUUUCAGCAGGGACGAAGCUUUUUGUGACGGUACCUGCAGAAGAAGCACCGGCUAACUACGUG